UUGCCCGGAGAGGGUAAGAUAAGCCCUCUUAUCUAGGGCGUGUAUAGUAUUUGAUUGCCCUGAUAAGCUUACCCGAAUACCCGGUGUACAACCACCGACCCGGUUGUAAUUGAGAUACCACCCACGUUUUUGUGUAUAUGGCUAUCGCGGUUUUCACCUCCGAUACGGCCGUAUGCAAUGUUUCCCGAUUGUGAAAAAUUCAAGGGGUAAAAAGGAUGAGGAACUUGUAAUCGGACAGAAUUAAUUCCAUUCAUUCGCGUUCAAUUUUGCAGCGGUGAGCACUUUAUUCCGGUCUGAAAUCGGCGUGCGUUUUGAAUGGGUAACGCCGAGGAUUCCCGAAAGGUAUGAAAUCAGGUUUCCCUAAUUGGUUAUGAUAUCGGUAUUAGGUUUUGAAUCGAGUGGAAUAUGUUGUGUUUGUUAUCCAAUUACGUUGACAGUAUGCACGUGUUCCACCUUGGUAAGUAAUUGCAGGCUAUCUUCUGUGUUUUAUAAUUUGGACAAGAUGUUGUUUCCAUCCCAAUUGUUUGCAAUUGCUUGUAUGUCCACAGAAUAACCUGACCACCGUGGUGUUCUUGCUAGAAGAGAUUAUACGGAAC